CCUACGGGGGGCUGCAGUGGGGAAUAUUGGACAAUGGGCGAAAGCCUGAUCCAGCCAUGCCGCGUGUGUGAAGAAGGCCUUCGGGUUGUAAAGCACUUUCAGUGGGGAAGAAAGCCUUGGGGCUAAUACCCUCGAGGAAGGACAUCACCCACAGAAGAAGCACCGGCUAACUCCGUGCCAGCAGCCGCGGUAAUACGGAGGGUGCGAGCGUUAAUCGGAAUUACUGGGCGUAAAGCGCGCGUAGGCGGUCUGAUAAGCCGGUUGUGAAAGCCCCGGGCUCAACCUGGGAACGGCAUCCGGAACUGUUAGGCUAGAGUGCAGGAGAGGAAGGUAGAAUUCCCGGUGUAGCGGUGAAAUGCGUAGAGAUCGGGAGGAAUACCAGUGGCGAAGGCGGCCUUCUGGACUGACACUGACGCUGAGGUGCGAAAGCGUGGGUAGCAAACAGGAUUAGAUACCCUUGUAGUC
rnacentral:rRNA from 1 species